rnacentral:rRNA from 1 species
GACGAACGCUGGCGGCGUGCUUAACACAUGCAAGUCGAACGGAAAGGCCCUGCUUUUGUGGGGUGCUCGAGUGGCGAACGGGUGAGUAACACGUGAGUAACCUGCCCUUUACUUUGGGAUAACUUCAGGAAACUGGGGCUAAUACCGGAUAGGAGCUCCUGCUGCAUGGUGGGGGUUGGAAAGUUUCGGCGGUUGGGGAUGGACUCGCGGCUUAUCAGCUUGUUGGUGGGGUAGUGGCUUACCAAGGCUUUGACGGGUAGCCGGCCUGAGAGGGUGACCGGCCACAUUGGGACUGAGAGACGGCCCAGACUCCUACGGGAGGCAGCAGUGGGGAAUAUUGCACAAUGGGCGGAAGCCUGAUGCAGCAACGCCGCGUGCGGGAUGACGGCCUUCGGGUUGUAAACCGCUUUCGCCUGUGACGAAGCGUGAGUGACGGUAAUGGGUAAAGAAGCACCGGCUAACUACGUG